rnacentral:rRNA from 1 species
AACGAACGCUGGCGGCAUGCCUAACACAUGCAAGUCGAACGAGACCUUCGGGACCAGUGGCGCACGGGUGCGUCACGCGUGGGAAUCUACCCUCAGGUUCGGAAUAACUCAGAGAAAUUUGAGCUAAUACCGGAUGAUGACGUAAGUCCAAAGAUUUAUCGCCUGAGGAUGAGCCCGCUUAGGAUUAGGUAGUUGGUGAGGUAAAGGCUCACCAAGCCGACGAUCCUUAGCUGGUCUGAGAGGAUGAUCAGCCACACUGGGACUGAGACACGGCCCAGACUCCUACGGGAGGCAGCAGUGGGGAAUAUUGGACAGUGGGCGAAAGCCUGAUCCAGCAAUGCCGCGUGAAUGAUGAAGGCCUUAGGGUUGUUAAGCUCUUUUACCCGGGAUGAUAAUGACAGUACCGGGUGAAUAAGCCCCGGCUAACUCCGUG